GGGUUGUGAGGUUAAGCGACUAAGCGUACACGGUGGAUGCCCUGGCAGUCAGAGGCGAUGAAGGACGUGCUAAUCUGCGAAAAGCGUCGGUAAGGUGAUAUGAACCGUUAUAACCGGCGAUGUCCGAAUGGGGAAACCCAGUGCAAUUCGUUGCACUAUCGUUAACUGAAUACAUAGGUUAACGAGGCGAACCGGGGGAACUGAAACAUCUAAGUACCCCGAGGAAAAGAAAUCAACCGAGAUUCCCCCAGUAGCGGCGAGCGAACGGGGAGCAGCCCAGAGUCUGAAUCAGCUUGUGUGUUAGUGGAACGGUCUGGAAAGUCCGACGGUACAGGGUGAUAGUCCCGUACACCAAAAUGCACAGGUUGUGAACUCGAAGAGUAGGGCGGGACACGUGGUAUCCUGUCUGAAUAUGGGGGGACCAUCCUCCAAGGCUAAAUACUCCUGACUGACCGAUAGUGAACCAGUACCGUGAGGGAAAGGCGAAAAGAACCCCGGCGAGGGGAGUGAAAAAGAACCUGAAACCGUGUACGUACAAGCAGUGGGAGCACCUUCGGGUGUGACUGCGUACCUUUUGUAUAAUGGGUCAGCGACUUAUAUUCUGUAGCAAGGUUAACCGUAUAGGGGAGCCGCAGGGAAACCGAGUCUUAACUGGGCGUUAAGUUGCAGGGUAUAGACCCGAAACCCGGUGAUCUAGCCAUGGGCAGGUUGAAGGUUGGGUAACACUAACUGGAGGACCGAACCGACUAAUGUUGAAAAAUUAGCGGAUGACUUGUGGCUGGGGGUGAAAGGCCAAUCAAACCGGGAGAUAGCUGGUUCUCCCCGAAAGCUAUUUAGGUAGCGCCUCGUGAACUCAUCUUCGGGGGUAGAGCACUGUUUCGGCUAGGGGGUCAUCCCGACUUACCAACCCGAUGCAAACUACGAAUACCGAAGAAUGUUAUCACGGGAGACACACGGCGGGUGCUAACGUCCGUCGUGAAGAGGGAAACAACCCAGACCGCCAGCUAAGGUCCCAAAGUCAUGGUUAAGUGGGAAACGAUGUGGGAAGGCACAGACAGCCAGGAUGUUGGCUUAGAAGCAGCCAUCAUUUAAAGAAAGCGUAAUAGCUCACUGGUCGAGUCGGCCUGCGCGGAAGAUGUAACGGGGCUAAACCAUGCACCGAAGCUGCGGCAGCGACACUAUGUGUUGUUGGGUAGGGGAGCGUUCUGUAAGCCUGCGAAGGUGUGCUGUGAGGCAUGCUGGAGGUAUCAGAAGUGCGAAUGCUGACAUAAGUAACGAUAAAGCGGGUGAAAAGCCCGCUCGCCGGAAGACCAAGGGUUCCUGUCCAACGUUAAUCGGGGCAGGGUGAGUCGACCCCUAAGGCGAGGCCGAAAGGCGUAGUCGAUGGGAAACAGGUUAAUAUUCCUGUACUUGGUGUUACUGCGAAGGGGGGACGGAGAAGGCUAUGUUAGCCGGGCGACGGUUGUCCCGGUUUAAGCAUGUAGGCUGGUUAUCCAGGCAAAUCCGGAUAAUCAAGGCUGAGGUGUGAUGACGAGGCACUACGGUGCUGAAGUAACAAAUGCCCUGCUUCCAGGAAAAGCCUCUAAGCAUCAGGUAACAUUAAAUCGUACCCCAAACCGACACAGGUGGUCAGGUAGAGAAUACCAAGGCGCUUGAGAGAACUCGGGUGAAGGAACUAGGCAAAAUGGUGCCGUAACUUCGGGAGAAGGCACGCUGGUGUGUAGGUGAAGCCCCUGCGGGUGGAGCUGAGACCAGUCGAAGAUACCAGCUGGCUGCAACUGUUUAUUAAAAACACAGCACUGUGCAAACACGAAAGUGGACGUAUACGGUGUGACGCCUGCCCGGUGCCGGAAGGUUAAUUGAUGGGGUUAUCCGUAAGGAGAAGCUCUUGAUCGAAGCCCCGGUAAACGGCGGCCGUAACUAUAACGGUCCUAAGGUAGCGAAAUUCCUUGUCGGGUAAGUUCCGACCUGCACGAAUGGCGUAAUGAUGGCCAGGCUGUCUCCACCCGAGACUCAGUGAAAUUGAACUCGCUGUGAAGAUGCAGUGUACCCGCGGCAAGACGGAAAGACCCCGUGAACCUUUACUAUAGCUUGACACUGAACAUUGAGCCUUGAUGUGUAGGAUAGGUGGGAGGCUUUGAAGCGUGGACGCCAGUCUGCGUGGAGCCAACCUUGAAAUACCACCCUUUAAUGUUUGAUGUUCUAACGUUGGCCCCUGACCGGGGUUGCGGACAGUGUCUGGUGGGUAGUUUGACUGGGGCGGUCUCCUCCCAAAGCGUAACGGAGGAGCACGAAGGUUAGCUAAUCCUGGUCGGACAUCAGGAGGUUAGUGCAAUGGCAUAAGCUAGCUUGACUGCGAGCGUGACGGCGCGAGCAGGUGCGAAAGCAGGUCAUAGUGAUCCGGUGGUUCUGAAUGGAAGGGCCAUCGCUCAACGGAUAAAAGGUACUCCGGGGAUAACAGGCUGAUACCGCCCAAGAGUUCAUAUCGACGGCGGUGUUUGGCACCUCGAUGUCGGCUCAUCACAUCCUGGGGCUGAAGUAGGUCCCAAGGGUAUGGCUGUUCGCCAUUUAAAGUGGUACGCGAGCUGGGUUUAGAACGUCGUGAGACAGUUCGGUCCCUAUCUGCCGUGGGCGCUGGAGAAUUGAGGGGGGCUGCUCCUAGUACGAGAGGACCGGAGUGGACGCAUCACUGGUGUUCGGGUUGUCAUGCCAAUGGCACUGCCCGGUAGCUAAAUGCGGAAGAGAUAAGUGCUGAAAGCAUCUAAGCACGAAACUUGCCCCGAGAUGAGUUCUCCCUGAGACUUUAAGUCUCCUGAAGGAACGUUGAAGACGACGACGUUGAUAGGCCGGGUGUGUAAGCGCAGCGAUGCGUUGAGCUAACCGGUACUAAUGAACCGUGAGGCUUAACCUUACAACGCCGAAG
rnacentral:rRNA from 1 species